rnacentral:rRNA from 1 species
UCUAAUACCGGAUACUGAUCUGCCUGGGCAUCCAGGCGGUUCGAAAGCUCCGGCGGUGCAGGAUGAGCCCGCGGCCUAUCAGCUUGUUGGUGAGGUAAUGGCUCACCAAGGCGACGACGGG